CUCUUGAGAGCGGCGGACGGGUGAGUAAUGCCUAGGAAUCUGCCUGGUAGUGGGGGAUAACGUUCGGAAACGGACGCUAAUACCGCAUACGUCCUACGGGAGAAAGCAGGGGACCUUCGGGCCUUGCGCUAUCAGAUGAGCCUAGGUCGGAUUAGCUAGUUGGUGGGGUAAUGGCUCACCAAGGCGACGAUCCGUAACUGGUCUGAGAGGAUGAUCAGUCACACUGGAACUGAGACACGGUCCAGACUCCUACGGGAGGCAGCAGUGGGGAAUAUUGGACAAUGGGCGAAAGCCUGAUCCAGCCAUGCCGCGUGUGUGAAGAAGGUCUUCGGAUUGUAAAGCACUUUAAGUUGGGAGGAAGGGCAGUAAAUUAAUACUUUGCUGUUUUGACGUUACCGACAGAAUAAGCACCGGCUAACUCUGUGCCAGCAGCCGCGGUAAUACAGAGGGUGCAAGCGUUAAUCGGAAUUACUGGGCGUAAAGCGCGCGUAGGUGGUUCGUUAAGUUGGAUGUGAAAUCCCCGGGCUCAACCUGGGAACUGCAUUCAAAACUGACGAGCUAGAGUAUGGUAGAGGGUGGUGGAAUUUCCUGUGUAGCGGUGAAAUGCGUAGAUAUAGGAAGGAACACCAGUGGCGAAGGCGACCACCUGGACUGAUACUGA
rnacentral:rRNA from 1 species